AUAUCCCCACAAUUCUUUAUUUUUUUCAUUGUGAUUGCUUACUUCGGAAUAAGAAAUCGAACCUAGGCUUUGGCAGCUAUAAGUGACAAUGGCUGGUAUUCGAAGAUCUUUUAGAUGGCCUAAUGAAAAUAAGAAGACACUGAUAAUUGCUGUUCCAAGAAGCAGUGCCGGAUUUGGAUUUACUGUUGCUUGGACAAAGCCUCCUCAAGUAGAUUUUAUCAAUGAAGG